CCAUUGGGACCAGGGCUAGGGUCAUUUUUGGGGUGGAGCAAAUUAUGAUGGCACCUCAGGGAGUCAGGGGUGGAGAUUGGAGAGAUUUGUUAGUCACCGUUUAGCGCGUUCUUUUAGUACGCCUUCUCAUUUCUCGUCGGUUUUGUACCGUCGUGUAAGGUAUUGCUUACUGUAUUAAUACAUGAGUAUUAAUUACGUCGUUCGUGGGAAAUCAGAUACACCUUAGCAACUGACUACGUGCAAAUUACAUACGAAGGAGAGAUCAUCGUCCAUAUUAUCGACCAUAUUACUGAUGCGUUUCGCUUCCAUGGAUUUUAAUGCUGGAUACUUUGUGUCCUAAGGAUGUCCAUUUCCCGACCUGAUGCAACUGGUCAGUCGUAGAACUGUGCGCUGCGAAGUCAAUUUCUCCUCCACAUGCAUUCUAUAGCCAAAUGCUUGUCAAUAUGGGGUAUAUACUAUACGCUAUAUUGCAGAACAAACCUAACAAGUUUACAGAACCGCGUACUAAAAGCAUAAUUGUCUCUUGUAAAGUCAGACCAAAGGGAAAAAGACUAGUUAUCUAGUCGAUGUACUUACACACACAGUUUGGUGGUCACUGUCAUGUGAUUUUACAUAAGAUGGAAAAUUACUCCGUAGUUAGUUACAUACGGUCAGGUUUUCAUUCAAGCAACAGCCACGAUCCGCCGCCAAUCUUCAUAGGGAUGGCGAUUUAAGUUGAUUAGUGCAGGAGAAGGAGGUCACGCUAGCCCCGGGCGAAACUAUGCACAGCACAGGGACCCAAGGGCAAAACAGAAGUUAAAGAGGAAAAAAACGGAGCACUUAACUACUAAAUACUUAGUACAACUGAGGUACGUACCGUAUAACGCUCCCGUUACUCCGUACUAAAAAAGAUCAAAAAGUCAUCGACGACUUGACUCUCGGGUGCCGCGUGGACGAUUAACCCACGCGAGCUGCCUUUGUCAAUAACCAGAAAGCUCGAAGAGGGUGUGUGGGCACCCGCAUUCCAAAUAAUUACACUCCGUUGGGUAAAGGAAAAGAGAGACACAGAAGAAGAGAUCCAUCGAUCGUGCGCUGAACCAUGGACCCAGUUUAAUCAGUGCAUCGAGCCAAAUGAGCUUGCUUCAUUGUCGUGAUCCACUCGCAUUUGACUCCGGCGUGGUAAUUUUGGCAUUACGGGCAGAUCAAUAACUUACGUAGUUUGUAGUAAGGCGACAAGACGAGCGACUGUGUCGGUUUUGAAUUUUCUUGUUCUCUGCGACGAACGGAUUGGCCAGUAUGUACGCACUAUAGUACCAUUCUUAUAGUACUUCCACGGUAUCGGUGGUUUAUCUCCAUGAUCAUCCAUCGAAUCACAAUUCGGCAAUGUGUGCGAAAACCACAGCCGUUGGUAUCAAACAAUAUCAUAUCUCAUAUCGAAUCUCGAUCUGUCUGCACGACGCUCAUUGGGCGCCGGCGUCGAUACGUACGUAAUUACCAAUACGUAACUUGGUCGAUCGAGUCGAAGUGAAACGGUC
rnacentral:lncRNA from 1 species